AAGAGGGCGCAAACACUUCAUCCUCACAGUCAAAGCAAAAGCCCACACCCUACGAGAUUCUUUGGAGAAAACCUGAGAACUCAUCAACUGGUUGUAAAGAAGCUCUGAUUCGAUGGGAUUUUAGAACCAUGGGCCUGAGAAGGAACUGAGACUGUUGUGUGCAGUGGUUAGGAGGGAAGUGGUAGUCAGACAGACUUUGAAUUGGACCCCUUCUCUGCCUGAUACCUGUUGGGACUGUGACCAUGGAAAUUCAAACUAUUAUGGAAGCUCAAUUGAACAUUACUCCUUUCAACUUCAGUGAAUCCAGGACCGGCCAAGGGCUUGGAAAUCAAGAUUCAGAACUGCGACUUGUCUUAGUGGGUAAGACUGGAGCAGGAAAAAGUGCCACAGGAAAUAGCAUCCUUGGAAAGAAAGCAUUUAAUUCCAGCAUUGCAGCAAAAUCUAUCACCAAGGCCUGUCAGAAAGAGAGAAGCAUGUGGAAUGGGAGAGAAAUAGUUGUCGUGGACACACCUGGCAUUUUCGACACUGAGGUACCGGAUGCUGACACACAAAGGGAGAUAGCUAAUUGCAUCCUCCUGACUUCCCCUGGCCCUCACGCUGUGCUCCUGGUGGUCCCGCUGGGCCGGUACACCAAUGAAGAGGAAAAGGCAGUGGAGAAGUUGCUGUCAAUGUUUGGACCCAAAGCUAGGAGAUACAUGAUUCUAUUAUUCACCCGGAAAGAUGACUUGGAUGGUAUGGAGUUCAAUGAUUACUUAAAAGAAGCUCCACAAGGCAUUCAAGAUCUGGUAGAGCAGUUCACAGGUCGUCACUGUGAGUUCAACAAUAAGGCGACAGGGGCUGAACAGGAGGCUCAGAGGGCACAGCUGCUGGAAUUAGUCCAGCGCAUGGUGAUGGAGAACCAGGGAGGAUGCUAUACUAAUACUAUGUACCAAAGGGCUGAGGUGGAGAUUCAGAAACAAAUUCAAGUCAUACGAGAACAACUCAGAGAAGAUUUGAAGAGAGAGAAGAGGCAGUUAGUAAAGGAGUAUGAAGAAAAAAUCAGAAAGCUGGAGGAUAAACUAGAGCAAGAAAAGAGCAAGGUAGAAAUGAAGAGGGAAUUGGCAGAAAGGGAGAGUCACUAUGUUUUAAGGCAGCAAAAUGCCAGAAGUGAGGUUGAGAGUCAGAAAGGGAUGCUUGACAUAAUCUUGGCAGCAUUAAACAUUGCUUCCUUUUUAUUCUCAUUUCUGUUCAAGGAAGGUAAAGCUUAAUGAAAAUCUGUCUAUGUCUCCUGUGUAUUUUCAAGUGUUCCUUCCCCACAUAUCUCAUUCCCCCCAAAUCUGUUUCUAUCUCUUAAGCUCUCAGGACUGUAGUAAAGUUUUUUGUUGUCAAUUAGUAGAUAUUUCAUUUAUUCUACAAGAAGAGACACAUUCUCAAUUUGUAAAACUCCAAAGCAGAAAGUAUGGAUAAUCCCUAUCUACUGAGCUCUUUCUCAGAAACAGAGAAGGGGAAUGCAUGAGACCAAAAGACGGUGACUCCAAGCUUUCUGUAUUUAUCCCUAGUAACCGUUUCUCCUCUAGAAUCUUCCUAGAUUGUUACAUAAUCUCCACCUGUGACUUCUUCACAUUUUAACCUUUGGAAUGACAAUGAUCAUUUUACCUAUGUUGUUAGAUAAAUCAAUUAUUUUUAUUAGAUAAUCUAUAGAUAGAGAUGCUUAUGGAAUUCUUUCUAUAAGUACAUAAAUUUGUUGAAUUUAAUUUUUAUGGAAGGACUGAAAUUGUUCCUUAUCAUCUGCCCACUGGAGAACAGAGAUUUGUCUGGAACAUGUUUUUCAGAACUCAACUAAGUGAAAUGCCAGAAAGAGAAAAAGGCAAGAGAUUCAGCAGCUAAGAGAACAAUGUUCAGUAUAUUCAGAUGUUUCUGUAAAAAGUUGUUGACCAACCUCAGUGUAACCACUUUGCUGAAUAACUAGUUCUCUUUUUUUCUUGUGAAACUAACUGUUGCCACCACACCUUCAUCACCCCACACCUUGAUUACUUACUGCUAGGUGCAUCAUCCCCACACUACUGCCUCCACUCAUUUGAAUUGUUUGCUCAUUGUUACUAUAAUAAAAAGUUUUAUUCUCUCUUA